GGGGAAUGUAAUGCCAAUGAAGAAGAAGAAGAAGAAGCAGAAGAUGGUGCAAGAAGUGUCCUUUUCAUUACUGUUUCUGGUGCUGGGCAAGCGGUAGUUUACUGGCUUCUCAAUCGAGAAAUCAAGCUUAUGAUAAAAUAUUGCUGCUCGCUGCCUUCACUGAUUCAAGACCGUUCAGUGGCUAUCAUUAGCCAAUCACACAAACGGGAGGUUUAUAUUUAUAUUCAACUUCGAUCCACCUAUGCAAGGAAAAAUAAGCCAUUGGAGAUAAAUCGAAUCCCCUUCUCUAGUAGCAGCAGUUACGGCGUAUUUAACGAGUAUAGCGGACUGCGUCAUUACCGACUUUCUGCGUUUAUGCACCCGUGUCAAAGUA